CGAGGAAUGCCUAGUAAGCGCGAGUCAUCAGCUCGCGUUGACUACGUCCCUGCCCUUUGUACACACCGCCCGUCGCUCCUACCGAUUGAAUGGUCCGGUGAAGUGUUCGGAUCGCGGCGACGGGGGCGAGUCGCCGCCCCCGACGUCGCGAGAAGUCCAUUGAACCUUAUCAUUUAGAGGAAGGAGAAGUCGUAACAAGGUUUCCGUAGGUGAACCUGCGGAAGGAUCAUUG
rnacentral:ncRNA from 1 species